UGCUCUACCUUUCUUACUUAAAGCAGAGCGUCUAAUCUUUGCCACUAAUAGGAAGACACGGUUUUAUUCAAAAUUCCCAAUUUGCUCUCCCCUUAGGACAAAACCCUGAACACAUUUUUAUGUGUUUUUAAUUUCCAAGGACUCUUUUGCUCUUUUCACAGUGACCUGUUUGUUUUUCCAACAUAGUAUAUUACUAAGGAUUUUAUUUCCUUUCUUCAGGGAAGGAAGAAAACAUAUGUGCUUGGUCUGCCGCCUUAAACCAGGAGUCUGAAAGAUGGGUCUGAAGGCUGCAGGCAAGGAUCUCUUAGAUUGAGGAUAACACACCAGAGCCGCACUACCACAGACAUCUCCACCAGAAACGAGUCAUCCAUCUUGUUUUUGAAACGGGGUCUUUCAUUGAACCUGGAACUCACUGACUGAGCUAGAGUUGCUGUUGAGAAAGCCCCAGGAAUCGUUUCGUCUUCCACCCCUCAACAUUUUCAAUACAGUGCAUCCUCAGGCCCACCAAAGUCUGCCAGGAUGAUGCAGAAGGCCACACCACAGGAAGAAGUGAGGGCCUCUCAGCGAAUCCGGAGCUCACCAGAAUGGACUAGUCCAGCUAGCCAACUUGCUCUGAGGAUCCUCUGCAUCUGCCUCCGGAACGCUGAGAUUGCACUCUGCCAGCCGCCAUUUCUAAGGUUCUACAUCAUCAGGCUUGCCCCAACAGAGGAACAGAGUUUUAAAGAUCAGAGGGCUAGGGAGAUGGCCCAAUCAGU